CCUGAGUAAUUCAUCGUUGUCUGGAAUUCUCUAGUUUUCUUCACAAGCAGUAUACUCCCCACUGGCCCACCACCUCAGUGGAAAGAUGGCCACAGAGUCUACAGCCACUCUUACCAUUGCCAUGGAACUGGUUUCUGCUGACAAAAUUGAAGAUGCUCCUGCUCCUUCUACCUCUGCAGAUAAAAUGGAGAGUCUGCAUGUGGAUAGUGAAGCUAAGAAACUACUGGGAUUAGGACAGAAACAUCUGGUGAUGGGUGACAUUCAGGCAGCUGUUAAUGCAUUCCAGGAAGCAACUAGUCUUUUAGGUAAGAAGUAUGGAGAAACGGCUAAUGAGUGUGGAAAAGCCUUCUUUUUUUACUUGAAGUCACUU
rnacentral:lncRNA from 1 species